rnacentral:tRNA from 2 species
UCCCCGAUAGCUCAGUCGGUAGAGCGCCGGACUGUUAAUCCGUGGGUCCCUGGUUCGAACCCAGGUCGGGGAG